CCUGGGUUUGAGAUAAUUGAC
rnacentral:miRNA from 1 species